rnacentral:piRNA from 1 species
AGCUAAGUCAAAGAUCAUUUUGUUGGU